rnacentral:RNase_P_RNA from 1 species
UGAGCUGGCUAAGCAGUCGCUGGCGGCCGCGCGUCUUUUGGCGUGGGCCGCGAGAGGAAAGUCCGGGCUCCACAGGACAAGGUGCCAGGUAACGCCUGGGAGGCGUGAGCUUACGGAAAGUGCAACAGAGAGUAGACCGCCUAAGGCGCCGCGCGCGUAUGCACGCGGCGAACGGUAAGGGUGAAAGGGUGCGGUAAGAGCGCACCGCGUGCGUGGCAACACGGUACGGCUAGGUAAACCCCACUUGGAGCAAGGCCAAAUAGGAAUCCAACGGUGUGGUCCGCACGGGAUUCGGGUAGGCCGCUCGAGGUCUUCGGCGACGGAGACCCUAGAUGAAUGACUGCUCUCGGAGGCGUUUCGGCGCUUUCGAUGACAGAACCCGGCUUACCGGCCAGCUCAAAUU